UGACCUCAUACUUAUUUGGGAAAGUGUGGUGUGGCUUAUUCAAUAUUGAGCUUGAUAUCCAGCAAUGCCUUUAUGGUGAUGGUGGAUGCAGGAAUAUACCAUCAAGAGCUGUUACUCACAGCAGUGUUGACACAUUGUCUCAGUCGAAAACCCAGAGAAGAAUAAUGAGCCCUCUGCCCCUGCAUAUCUUCCAAAAAGAUAAGGAAACUGAGGCACAAACAAAUUGAGUGACUUCCAUAGGUCACAGCAUUUAUCCAGAGAAGAAGCCAAGCCAAAUCCAGAUCACUUAGACACCUGACUGUUUAACAUC